GUCCCUGCAGCGAAGUGAAUAGUGCGUUGGACUUCUAAUCCAAAGGUAGUGAGUGGGUUUGAAUUCCACCUGGGAUG